GUAGUUUAUACCGUGUGCAGCAUCUCCUUUGGUUUUUGCUCCUAAAGUAUUUCUCUUGUAUAUAUACUUGGCUUUUAGGGCCACCUUUAUGGUUAUCGGCUACUUGGAU
rfam:Arcobacter cryaerophilus strain AZT-1 contig001, whole genome shotgun sequence.